UACACUAACACAGCCUUUUUUUUUCUAGUCUAUGGUGGGCUCAGCCAGGUUCACAAUGGACGAUCGUCCAUUGUGAACCUGGAUCUGAUGUAUGCAAGGACAGGGUCUGACAUAUCCAGAACGGACCACUCCCCAAAAACUUCUUGGGUUUGUCGACCUGUCUGGAUUCGAUUUCACAUCGUCCAGAGUGGUUAUUUGCCUUUGUCAUCCGACCUUUAUUUGACUAUUGCCUUCCAAUGGCUAUGUGGAUAACAUCACUGAACACCAGACCAAUGGGGUCAUGGAUUCGCUCCUCACUAGCAGGUUGACGAGUGGAAUUUCCUGGGUUUUCUUCACAUAUCUAACAUCUAAAUAGUGACAACAAAUAUUUUUCUCGAAUUUCUGUCAAUAGAAAAAUACAAGUGCAUCGAACCAGUUAAAAGUUUCCGGUCUAUUGUGAGUUCGACCAGACCUAUAAAGAAGAAGCCGAGUGGGACGGGGCUCAACAUAUCUGAGACACAUCCUCGAAAAAUUCCUGAAGGUUUUACUGCGUUGAUUCUGUCCGGGUCCCUCAGAGCGAUAGACUGACGAAGUAACCACAUCGGCCAUCCGGCUGGCAUACCCACCAAGUAUUAUCUACGCUUGUGUUAUAGUAUGUGUUGGUUAGCCUGUGCGGAUUGGUAUGCAGGUUAGUCUAGUGGAUUCUCAGUUGCAGAUAUCAUAGAAUACCAUUUGGUGUUGUUAUUGAUCCUAAAAAGAAAGAACCGAAGGAUUUAACCAACUGAAAGAACUGUCUUGUCAUUGGAAAAAAGUUAAGUUUAUUUUAUUACUCUUAUAUAAUAUUAUCCCAAUUAAACUAUAUUA